rnacentral:lncRNA from 1 species
GAGACACGCGUGCAAAACACGUAUACUUGACUAGUAUAAUUGUUCUAAUUGGUUAGAAAUAUAAUCAUAUAAUGUAUUUAAAUGGAUAUGCGUGGUAAUCAAGAUACCAUAUAUAUUUGGUAAGCUAUUUCACGCGUAUUUUGGUAACAGCUAGGAAUCCAAGUGCAAGUCCUAAUCCUACACAAAAAGGGAAAACACUUUUUUUUCUCUAUAUAUACUUAUGAGUCCAGUUGCAAACUUCAAUAUUUACGCUUCGAUUAGUUUCAUCAAAUAAUGGAGUCACCCACAUCUGCCAGUCAAAUCCAUGUGUUCCCCCAAUUUCGUAAUGCUAGA